rnacentral:rRNA from 1 species
CUCCGCAAUGCUCGAAAGAGUGACGGGGGGAUUCCAAGUGCCUACGCAUAGCGUAGGCUGUUCAGAUGCCUACAAAGCAUCUGGAGGAAGGACUGGGUAAGACGGGUGCCAGCCGCCGCGGUAACACCCGCAGUCCGAGUGGCAGUCGAGUUUAUUGGGCCUAAAGCGUCCGUAGCCGGUCUGGCAAAUGCCUGGGUAAAUCGUCUGGCUCAACCAGACGAAUUCCGGGUAGACUGCCAGACUUGGGACCGGUUGAGGGAGAGGGUACUCCAGGGGUAGGAGUGAAAUCCUGUAAUCCUUGGAGGACCACCAGUGGCGAAAGCGCUCUCCCAGGACGGGUCCGACGGUGAGGGACGAAAGCCAGGGUAGCGAACCGGAUUAGAUACCCGGG